CCUACGGGUGGCAGCAGUGAGGAAUAUUGGUCAAUGGGCGCGAGCCUGAAGCAGCCCAGUAGCGUGAAGGAUGACUGCCCUACGGGUUGUAAACUUCUUUUAUAAAGGAAUAAAGUGAGGCACGUGUGCCUUUUUGUAUGUACUUUAUGGAUCAGGCUCGGCUACCUCCGUGCCAGCAGCCGCGGUAAUACGGAGGAUCCGAGCGUUAUCCGGAUGUAUUGGGUUUAACGGGAGCGUAGAUGGGUGGUUAAGUCAGUUGUGAAAGUUUGCGGCUCAACCGUAAAAUUGCAAUUGAUACUGGCAGUCUGGAGGAUAGGUGAGGUAGGCGGAAUUCGUGGUGUAGCGGUGAAAUGCUUAGAUAUCACGAAGAACUCCGAUUGCGAAGGCAGCUUACUAAACUGCCACUGACAUUGAUGCUCGAAAGUGUGGGGAGCAAACAGGAUUAGAUACCCUAGUAGUC
rnacentral:rRNA from 1 species